rnacentral:rRNA from 1 species
CCUACGGGUGGCAGCAGUGAGGAAUAUUGGUCAAUGGACGAGAGUCUGAACCAGCCAAGUAGCGUGAAGGAUGACUGCCCUAUGGGUUGUAAACUUCUUUUAUAUGGGAAUAAAAUGUUCCACGUGUGGGAUUUUGUAUGUACCAUAUGCAUAAGGAUCGGCUAACUCCGUGCCAGCAGCCGCGGUAAUACGGAGGAUCCGAGCGUUAUCCGGAUUUAUUGGGUUUAAAGGGAGCGUAGGUGGAUUGUUAAGUCAGUUGUGAAAGUUUGGGGCUCAACCGUAAAAUUGCAGUUGAAACUGGCAGUCUUGAGUACAGUAGAGGUGGGCGGAAUUCGUGGUGUAGCGGUGAAAUGCUUAGAUAUCACGAAGAACUCCGAUUGCGAAGGCAGUUCACUGGACUGCAACUGACACUGAGGCUCGAAAGUGUGGGUAUCAAACAGGAUUAGAUACCCCUGUAGUC